GACGAACGCUGGCGGCGUGCCUAAUACAUGCAAGUCGAACGCUGAAGGAGGAGCUUGCUCUUCUGGAUGAGUUGCGAACGGGUGAGUAACGCGUAGGUAACCUGCCUGGUAGCGGGGGAUAACUAUUGGAAACGAUAGCUAAUACCGCAUAACAGUAGAUGUUGCAUGACAUUUGCUUAAAAGGUGCAAUUGCACCACUACCAGAUGGACCUGCGUUGUAUUAGCUAGUUGGUGGGGUAACGGCUCACCAAGGCGACGAUACAUAGCCGACCUGAGAGGGUGAUCGGCCACACUGGGACUGAGACACGGCCCAGACUCCUACGGGAGGCAGCAGUAGGGAAUCUUCGGCAAUGGACGGAAGUCUGACCGAGCAACGCCGCGGGAGUGAAGAAGGGUGUCGGAUCGUAAAGCUCUGUUGUAAGAGAAGAACGAGUGUGAGAGUGGAAAGUUCACACUGUGACGGUAGCUUACCAGAAAGGGACGGCUAACUACGUG
rnacentral:rRNA from 1 species